rnacentral:rRNA from 1 species
GACGAAUGCUGGCGGCGUGCCUAAUACAUGCAAGUUGAGCGAUGAAGAUUGGUGCUUGCACCAAUUUGAAGAGCAGCGAACGGGUGAGUAACGCGUGGGGAAUCUGCCUUUGAGCGGGGGACAACAUUUAGAAACGAAUGCUAAUACCGCAUAACAACUUUAAACAUAAGUUUUAAGUUUGAAAGAUGCAAUUGCAUCACUCAAAGAUGAUCCCGCGUUGUAUUAGCUAGUUGGUGAGGUAAAGGCUCACCAAGGCAAUGAUACAUAGCCGACCUGAGAGGGUGAUCGGCCACAUUGGGACUGGGACGCGGCCCAAACUCCUACGGGAGGCAGCAGUAGGGAAUCUUCGGCAAUGGACGAAAGUCUGACCGAGCAACGCCGCGUGAGUGAAGAAGGUUUUCGGAUCGUAAAACUCUGUUGGUAGAGAAGAACGUUGGUGAGAGUGGAAAGCUCAUCAAGUGACGGUAACUACCCAGAAAGGGACGGCUAACUACGUGCCAGCCGCCGCCGUAA